rnacentral:rRNA from 1 species
UACGUAGGGUGCGAGCGUUGUCCGGAAUUAUUGGGCGUAAAGAGCUCGUAGGCGGUGUGUCGCGUCGGCCGUGAAAACCUGGGGCUCAACUCUGGGCGUGCGGUCGAUACGGGCAUCACUGGAGUUCGGCAGGGGAGACUGGAAUUCCUGGUGUAGCGGUGAAAUGCGCAGAUAUCAGGAGGAACACCGGUGGCGAAGGCGGAUCUCUGGGCCUUACCUGACGCUCAGGUGCGAAAGCUAGGGGAGCGAACAGG